rnacentral:rRNA from 1 species
ACUGAGCGGCGGACGGGUGAGUAACGCGUGGGUAACCUACCUCAUACAGGGGGAUAACAGUUGGAAACGGCUGCUAAUACCGCAUAAGCGCACAGUACCGCAUGGUACCGUGUGAAAAACUCCGGUGGUAUGAGAUGGACCCGCGUCUGAUUAGGUAGUUGGUGGGGUAACGGCCUACCAAGCCGACGAUCAGUAGCCGACCUGAGAGGGUGACCGGCCACAUUGGGACUGAGACACGGCCCAA